CGCAGAUUGAUAGCAGGCAGGAGAAGAGGCCACUCCAGGAAAAUGGAACAAUGAGCUGCAGCUGUGUUAAUGAGAUUAAACAGGAGACGAGUCGUCAACUUUUGUUCCAUCCAGUGAUCCACUCAGAUUUAUGGAGCACAGUUCAGAGAGCCAAUGUGCUGAUGUGAUUCCUAGCAGCAGAACAAAGUUUGGUUCUGUCAUCUGAUGACAAGCGAGGGUCUCGUGACCUGACGAGGUCAUACUUUGACUGCCACACACUCAUGUCAGGUCAUGUGAGACUGUGAGAAUACAGCUGAUUUGACUUUUCCACA